CCCUCGAUAGCUCAGUUGGCAGAGCGGAGGACUGUAGAUGUUACAACGGUGAUCCUUAGGUCGUUAGUUCCAAUCCGGCUCGAGGGA